GCCGGUGUGGCGGAAUAGGCAGACGCAUGGGACUUAAAAUCCCACGAUGGCAACAUCGUACCGGUUCGACCCCGGUCACCGGCACCA
rnacentral:tRNA from 1 species